AGAGUUUGAUCCUGGCUCAGAUUGAACGCUGGCGGCAUGCCUUACACAUGCAAGUCGAACGGCAGCACGAGAGCUUGCUCUUGGUGGCGAGUGGCGAACGGGUGAGUAAUAUAUCGGAACGUACCCUAGAGUGGGGGAUAACGUAGCGAAAGUUACGCUAAUACCGCAUACGAUCUACGGAUGAAAGUGGGGGAUCGCAAGACCUCAUGCUCAUGGAGCGGCCGAUAUCUGAUUAGCUAGUUGGUGGGGUAAAAGCUCACCAAGGCGACGAUCAGUAGCUGGUCUGAGAGGACGACCAGCCACACUGGAGCUGAGACACGGUCCAGACUCCUACGGGAGGCAGCAGUGGGGAAUUUUGGACAAUGGGCGCAAGCCUGAUCCAGCAAUGCCGCGUGAGUGAAGAAGGCCUUCGGGUUGUAAAGCUCUUUUGUCAGGGAAGAAACGGUGGACUCUAAUACAGAUCACUAAUGACGGUACCUGAAGAAUAAGCACCGGCUAACUACGUGCCAGCAGCCGCGGUAAUACGUAGGGUGCAAGCGUUAAUCGGAAUUACUGGGCGUAAAGCGUGCGCAGGCGGUUGUGCAAGACAGAUGUGAAAUCCCCGGGCUCAACCUGGGAAUUGCAUUUGUGACUGCACGGCUAGAGUGUGUCAGAGGGGGGUAGAAUUCCACGUGUAGCAGUGAAAUGCGUAGAGAUGUGGAGGAAUACCGAUGGCGAAGGCAGCCCCCUGGGAUAACACUGACGCUCAUGCACGAAAGCGUGGGGAGCAAACAGGAUUAGAUACCCUGGUAGUCCACGCCCUAAACGAUGUCUACUAGUUGUCGGGUCUUAAUUGACUUGGUAACGCAGCUAACGCGUGAAGUAGACCGCCUGGGGAGUACGGUCGCAAGAUUAAAACUCAAAGGAAUUGACGGGGACCCGCACAAGCGGUGGAUGAUGUGGAUUAAUUCGAUGCAACGCGAAAAACCUUACCUACCCUUGACAUGUCUGGAAUCCUUGAGAGAUCAGGGAGUGCUCGAAAGAGAAUCAGAACACAGGUGCUGCAUGGCUGUCGUCAGCUCGUGUCGUGAGAUGUUGGGUUAAGUCCCGCAACGAGCGCAACCAUUGUCAUUAGUUGCUACGAAAGGGCACUCUAAUGAGACUGCCGGUGACAAACCGGAGGAAGGUGGGGAUGACGUCAAGUCCUCAUGGCCCUUAUGGGUAGGGCUUCACACGUCAUACAAUGGUACAUACAGAGGGCCGCCAACCCGCGAGGGGGAGCUAAUCCCAGAAAGUGUAUCGUAGUCCGGAUUGUAGUCUGCAACUCGACUACAUGAAGUUGGAAUCGCUAGUAAUCGCGGAUCAGCAUGUCGCGGUGAAUACGUUCCCGGGUCUUGUACACACCGCCCGUCACACCAUGGGAGCGGGUUUCACCAGAAGUGGGUAGCCUAACCGCAAGGAGGGCGCUCACCACGGUGGGAUUCGUGACUGGGGUGAAGUCGUAACAAGGUA
rnacentral:rRNA from 1 species